rnacentral:ncRNA from 2 species
AUGACUGCAGGGGGAGAGUCUACUUACGUAGCGCCGAAGGAGCAAGCAUGCUGUGAAUCUCUCAGGCAAACAGACCUCUGUAGGACG